AGAACGAACGCUGGCGGCAUGCCUAAUACAUGCAAGUCGAACGAGACCUUCGGGUCUAGUGGCGCACGGGUGCGUAACGCGUGGGAAUCUACCCUUGGGUUCGGAAUAACAGUUGGAAACGACUGCUAAUACCGGAUGAUGACGAAAGUCCAAAGAUUUAUCGCCCAGGGAUGAGCCCGCGUAGGAUUAGCUAGUUGGUGAGGUAAAGGCUCACCAAGGCUACGAUCCUUAGCUGGUCUGAGAGGAUGAUCAGCCACACUGGGACUGAGACACGGCCCAGACUCCUACGGGAGGCAGCAGUAGGGAAUAUUGGACAAUGGGGGCAACCCUGAUCCAGCAAUGCCGCGUGAGUGAUGAAGGCCUUAGGUUGUAAAGCUCUUUUACCCGAGAUGAUAAUGACAGUAUCGGAGAAUAAGCUCCGGCUAACUCCGUGCCAGCAGCCGC
rnacentral:rRNA from 1 species